GCAAUAAUAGCUUAAAAAGAGCAUUGGUCUUGUAAGCCAAAAGUGAGUUUCUAUCUCUUAUUGCU
rnacentral:tRNA from 1 species